UACGGGGGGGGCAAGCGUUGUUCGGAAUUACUGGGCGUAAAGGGCUCGUAGGCGGCCAACUAAGUUCGGCGUGAAAUCCCCAGGCUUAACCUGGGAACUGCGUCGGAUACUGGAUGGCUUGAAUUCGGGAGAGGGAUGCAGAAUUCCAGGUGUAGCGGUGAAAUGCGUAGAUAUCUGGAGGAAUACCGGUGGCGAAGGCGGCAUCCUGGACCGACAUUGACGCUGAUGAGCGAAAGCUAGGGGAGCAAACGGG
rnacentral:rRNA from 1 species